UGGAUGUUACCCAGAUUGCCCCC
rnacentral:piRNA from 1 species